AGAGUUUGAUCAUGGCUCAGAAUCAACGCUGGCGGCGUGCCUAACACAUGCAAGUCGAACGCGAAAGCUCCGCAAGGGGCAAGUAGAGUGGCAAACGGGUGAGUAGCGCGUGGGUGACCUGCCUUCGAGUGGGGGAUAACGUACCGAAAGGGACGCUAAUACCGCAUGACAUCCUGCCUUUCAAGAGGUGGAGAUCAAAG
rnacentral:rRNA from 1 species